rnacentral:rRNA from 1 species
CCUACGGGUGGCAGCAGUGGGGAAUAUUGCACAAUGGGGGAAACCCUGAUGCAGCGACGCCGCGUGAGCGAAGAAGGAUUUCGGAAUGUAAAGCUCUGUCAGCAGGGAAGAGAAUGAACGUACCUUGCUAAGAAAGCCAGGGUUAAUAAGUGCCAGCAGCCGCCGUAAUACGUUGGGUGCAAGCGUUUUUCGGAUUUACUGGGGGUAAAGGGAGCGUAGGCGGUUAGACAAGUCUGAUGUUAAAGGCUAGGGCUUAACCCUGGGAAAGCAUUGGAAACUGUUUAACUGGAGUGUCGGAGAGGCAAGUGGAAUUCCUAGUGUAGCGGUGAAAUGCGUAGAGAUUAGGAGGAACACCAGUGGCGAAGGCGGCUUACUGGACUAUGACUGACGCUGAGGCAUGAAAGCGUGGGGAGCAAACAGGAUUAGAUACCCCAGUAGUC